ensembl:snRNA U2 U2 spliceosomal RNA
ACCAGUUCUUGGCCUUUUGGCUAAGAUCAUGUGUAGUUAUCUGAUCUUACCAGUUUAAUAUCUGUUAUGUUCUCUAUUCAAGGACAAUAUAGUAAAUGGAUUUUUGGAGUAGAGAGAUGGAAAAGGAGCUUGCUCCAGCCACUUUAUGCACUGAUCUGGUAUUACAAUACCUCUAGGAACAAUGCACCCCAU